rnacentral:rRNA from 1 species
UGGGGAAUAUUGGACAAUGGGCGCAAGCCUGAUCCAGCAAUGCCGCGUGUGUGAAGAAGGCCUUCGGGUUGUAAAGCACUUUUAUCAGGAGCGAAACGCUGUCGGCUAAUACCCGGCGGAACUGACGGUACCUGAGGAAUAAGCACCGGCUAACUUCGUGCCAGCAGCCGCGGUAAUACGAAGGGUGCAAGCGUUAAUCGGAAUUACUGGGCGUAAAGCGUGCGUAGGCGGUUUCUUAAGUCUGCUGUGAAAUCCCCGGGCUCAACCUGGGAAUGGCAGUGGAUACUGGGAGGCUAGAGUGUGUCAGAGGGUGGUGGAAUUCCCGGUGUAGCGGUGAAAUGCGUAGAGAUCGGGAGGAACAUCAGUGGCGAAGGCGGCCACCUGGGACAACACUGACGCUGAGGCACGAAAGCGUGGGGAGCAAACAGGAUUAGAUACCCUGGUAGUCCACGCCCUAAAGCGAUGCGAACUGGAUGUUGGUCUCAACUCGGAGUCAGUNUCGAAGCUAACGCGUUAAGUUCGCCGCCUGGGGAGUACGGUCGCAAGACUGAAACU